UCAGCACCUAAAAAAAGUUACCAUGCCACGGUGAACCCUUUUUGCUCAAAUCAAUGUUAUAGGUAGUUUAGCUCAUCCUAAUUUGUGGUUACAGGAUAAGGAGGAAGACAAUUACUUUUUCAACCAUCGAGGUUUUGAUGUACCAGGGUGCAACUGCAUUACUCCUUAUAUUGUCCUUUGCCCACUCACAAGCUAGAUUCCUUUUACCUUUUGUUGCUCCUUGAACCGACAUGGACUUCAGGGAGACGAAACCAGAAACCGACGAGACAAACACAACACUUGCAAUUCCAGAUGCUUUCAGAAGUGGAUAUGCAAGUUGGCAUAUAUGAAAGGUGGACCCUAAAUUGGUAUCCAUGAGUCUGGAAAUCUCUGCAGUAUGUUAGUUGGGGAAUAAUAUCAAACACAUGAUAUGCAAAGAAAGAAGAGAGCUUACAAGGAUGUUGAGUUUCCCUUGGAAUUGAGAACACACAGAGUCCAUCAGCUUCUCCCUCUGAUGAGGGACGGAGACAUCGCAAACAGAGCCAGU